UACCAGCACCCCGAGUGGUCGGGACGAUUAUUGGGCCUAAAGCAUCCGUAGCCGGUACUGCAAGUCUUCCGUUAAAUCCACCUGCUUAACAGUUGGGCCGCGGGGGAUACUACAGCGCUAGGAGGCGGGAGAGGCAAGCGGUACUCAAUGGGUAGGGGUAAAAUCCGCUGAUCCAUUGAAGACCACCAGUGGCGAAGGCGGCUUGCCAGAACGCGCUCGACGGUGAGGGAUGAAAGCUGGGGGAGCAAACCGG
rnacentral:rRNA from 1 species